rnacentral:rRNA from 1 species
AACGAACGCUGGCGGCAGGCUUAACACAUGCAAGUCGAACGCGUGUAGCAAUACUCGAGUGGCGCACGGGUGAGUAACGCGUGGAUAUCUGCCUUUUGGUUCGGAAUAACCCCGGGAAACUGGGGCUAAUACCGGAUGGUUCCUUCGGGAUAAAGAUUUAUCGCCAAAAGAUGAGUCCGCGUCCGAUUAGCUAGUUGGUGAGGUAAUGGCUCACCAAGGCGACGAUCGGUAGCUGGUCUGAGAGGACGAUCAGCCACACUGGGACUGAGACACGGCCCAGACUCCUACGGGAGGCAGCAGUGGGGAAUAUUGGACAAUGGGGGCAACCCUGAUCCAGCCAUGCCGCGUGAGUGAUGAAGGCCUUCGGGUUGUAAAGCUCUUUUGGCGGGGACGAUGAUGACGGUACCCGCAGAAUAAGCCCCGGCUAACUUCGUGCCAGCCGCCGCGGUAAGAC